rnacentral:rRNA from 1 species
UACGGGGGGGGUAAGCGUUGUUCGGAAUUACUGGGCGUAAAGGGCUCGUAGGCGGCCAACUAAGUCAUACGUGAAAUCCCUCAGCUUAACUGGGGAACUGCGUGUGAUACUGGAUGGCUUGGAUUUGGGAGAGGGAUGCGGAAUUCCAGGUGUAGCGGUGAAAUGCGUAGAUAUCUGGAGGAAUACCGGUGGCGAAGGCGGCAUCCUGGACCGACAUUGACGCUGAUGAGCGAAAGCCAGGGGAGCAAACGGG